rnacentral:rRNA from 1 species
GGGACGUGCCGGUGGUCAAACCGGAGGAAGGUGGGGAUGACGUCAAGUCCUCAUGGCCUUUAUGUCUAGGGCUACACACGUACUACAAUGGCCGGUACAAAGGGCAGCCACUCAGCGAUGAGGCGCUAAUCCCAUAAAGCCGGUCUCAGUCCGGAUCGCAGUCUGCAACUCGACUGCGUGAAGUUGGAAUCGCUAGUAAUCGUAGAUCAGCAUGCUACGGUGAAUACGUUCCCGGGCCUU